GCAAACUUGGUCAUUUAGAGGAAGUAAAAGUCGUAACAAGGUUUCCGUAGGUGAACCUGCGGAAGGAUCAUUAACGAGUGUAAUCUACCCUAAAGGGUGGUAACCUCCCGUCCUUUGCAGGCCCCCCCUUUUUUAUUGAGGGGGGGGCUUUUUAAGACUUUCUGCUUCGGCGGGGUUAUUCCCGCCGGAACACCCUCAAAAAAUCUUGAUCAAUAAAACAGUUCAGUCCGAGAAUUUUUGAAAAUAUAAAAAAACUUUCAACAACGGAUCUCUUGGUUCUGGCAUCAAUGAAGAACGCAGC
rnacentral:misc_RNA from 1 species